GCCUGGGUGGCUCAGUCUUUUGAGCAUCUGACUUCCGCUCAGGUCAUGAUCUCCUUGUUCGUGAGUUCGAGCCCCGCAUUAGGCU
rnacentral:tRNA from 1 species